GAUGAACGCUGGCGGCGUGCCUAAUACAUGCAAGUCGAGCGAGCAGACGAGGAGCUUGCUCCUCUGACGUUAGCGGCGGACGGGUGAGUAACACGUGGAUAACCUACCUAUAAGACUGGGAUAACUUCGGGAAACCGGAGCUAAUACCGGAUAAUAUAUUGAACCGCAUGGUCCAAUAGUGAAAGACGGUUUUGCUGUCACUUAUAGAUGGAUCCGCGCCGCAUUAGCUAGUUGGUAAGGUAACGGCUUACCAAGGCGACGAUGCGUAGCCGACCUGAGAGGGUGAUCGGCCACACUGGAACUGAGACACGGUCCAGACUCCUACGGGAGGCAGCAGUAGGGAAUCUUCCGCAAUGGGCGAAAGCCUGACGGAGCAACGCCGCGUGAGUGAUGAAGGUCUUCGGAUCGUAAAACUCUGUUAUUAGGGAAGAACAAAUGUGUAAGUAACUAUGCACGUCUUGACGGUACCUAAUCAGAAAGCCACGGCUAACUACGUG
rnacentral:rRNA from 1 species